UUAUAGGGAAAUGCCAUCAGGAAUUCCUACUUUCAAUUAUCCGCUUAAGCUCUCCCUCCCUUAUCUCAAAUUCCUUUGUCGGAAACCGCCACUCCGCCGUGCCAGAGGCAGAGUUAAGCCAAAACGCAAAUAACUGCCACCAAAAUGAUCCUUGCUUUAUCCUCUCUUCUAUUAUCUUGCCAAACUUUCCUUAUAUCCACCAAAAUAAUCAACUAAAAUCAAGAACCCUAAGCUAUGAAAAGUGAAAUUAAAUGGUUGGAGCUUCAAUCUGAACCCACACCUUAGGGGUUUGGUUCAGGUUACGCAGGGCUACAUUGCGGGUAAAGGAAUUUGGAGCAAAGGGAAAGGAAAGGAAAAUCAAAUGCCGACCUACGAGACCAUGGCUUAUCCCGAAAUUUGUUGCAACAAAGAAGAUGAAGUCGAAGCAAGAACACAAAAGGCUCUACUGAGGUUGGUAGAAUUGAGAAAAUUCCGCAGAAUGUUCUGUCGUUGAUGAUUGGAGGUGGUUAUGAUUAUGAACAAUAAUGGUUGUGAUUCUGCAUUGAGGAGAGUGAAUGAUUAUGUGUUUGUAAAUUGUGAUUUUCCUCCCCUUGGAUAGUGAUGAUGAGAAGCUAUAUAAUGAGUGUCCUCUAACCGUUUCAAGCAAGCUAUGGGGCAGGGGUAGUUAACCGUUAGGGCAGAAUUAGAUGGUUAGUAAUUGAAGAGGAAAGUUAGUUAGAAGUUAACUGACAAUAUUAGUGUUUUUGUUAAUGUUAGUUGAAUGGAGGUUAGAGUUUGGAAUUCAAUUACCUGUUAGAAUGGAACUGAAGUUAGUUAACUAUGAUGAAAGUUAGUUGUUAGUGAAAUCGGUUUUAAGUUAAUAAGUUUUGUCAUUAGGUUGAUUAAAUUAGAAGUAUUAUGGUGAAAGAUGAAAUCAAGUUAGAAUUAAAAUCAAUUAAUUAUGAAGCGUGGAGAUGUUUGUUUGUUGUGUUAAUUAACUGAAAUUUCACUCUGGACUCAAUUUGGAAUUUCACUAUUUUUUGUGUUUUGUUUAUCUGCAGUUGAACAUGAUUAUGUUUCUAACAACCACUAUCGAGAUACCAUAGAUUUGAAGUGGUCUUCAAACAUACCUACAAAACAAAUUAUGUUUUGUUAGGUAUCCAAUAUGCCUUGGGUCCUUCAUAAUUAGUAUCUUUCUUAACCCACACAUAAUGCUCACUUGCCAUACUAAAGUUUCUAACAUAGCAGACAUUAGGUGUAUGGCCAUUUAUACCACAAUAAAAUCAUGUAGGCACAAAAGUACUUCUAUACCUAGGAACAUAUGAUUUAUUUUUAGGAAAUCUCUUCUUAGGAUGUUGAUGAAGUUUUUAUGCUCUAUUCAAUUUUUCCUUGUUGGAUUGGUCACUUGCCUUAACAAAGAUGGUUUCAUUAGUACUUGGUUUGUUGAACUUAGAAUGACCAAGACCGCUUUUAUCAUUUGAAUAUCUUUGUUGACUAAGAACAUUUUCCAAUCUAACUUGUCCUUUUUCAUAUCUUUCAAGAACUCUUUUUAAUUGAACAAUUUGGCAAGUAAGUGAAUCACAAUUUUUGCAUGUAAGAUCUUACUUUUCUUUUUCAAGAAAGUUUUAUUUUUCAACUUCAAAAUUCUUUUCCAUGGUGUCAAUCUUUUCUUCAAGAGAUAAGAUUUGUUUCUUUUGUGGUGACAGCGUUUUAUACAAAAUCUUACAUUCAUUAAGAAGUUCAUAAAUAGCACCUUGGGUAUCAUUAUGAGAAUAUGUUUCAUUACUAACCUCUUCUUCGUCAUCAUCAGAAUGACAUGCAGCCAUCAAUGCAAGAUUAACACAUUCUUCAUUUUCGGAAUCGGAAGAUGAACUCACUUCAUUAUCUUCCCAUGCAAUGUAGACUCUUUUAGAUUUUUACUCAUUUCUUUUGUUGAGUUUUGGACAAUUCGUCUUUAUAUGUCCAUGCUUUCCACAUUCAUAGCAAGUGAUGUUUUGAGUAGACAUAGAUGUUUCCUUCUUGUUAAAAUAUUUCUUCUUUCUUGCAAAGUUAGACUUUUCAUUAGUACCAAAAUAUUUACCUAACCUUUUUACAAUAAGCAUGAAGUUAUCGUCUUCCUCCGGGUUGUCUUCUUUUUUAACUUCUUUUGAAUCAACUUUUAAGAUAAUGCUUUUGGAUUUCUUGUCUAGAUUCUCAUGUUUUUUAAGUCUACCAAGUUCCGCCUCAUAUUGUUGGAGUUUACCAAACAAUGUUGCGGACGUCAUCGUUGAUAGAUUUUUCUUUUCGGAUAUCACUGUCACUUUCAGUUGUCAUUCCCUAGUUAAAGAUCUGAGUAUUUUAAGAUUAAGUUCAUUUUUAGUUAAAGUCUUACCGUGUAUUUUCAAGUGAUUCGUCAAAUGCACAAAUCUUUUCUGCAAGUCGAGAAUUUAUUCUCCGGGCUGCAUUCAGAAUAAUUUGUAUUCUUGAUUUAACGUAUUCAAUCUUGAUCUUUUAGCUUAUGCGGUUCCUUCAUGUGUUUCAACCAAAAUAUCUCAUAUUUCUUUUGCCUAUGUACAUGUUGAAAUGCGAAAGAACUCAUUCAUGCCAAGAGCACCUUGAAGAAGAUUUAUUGUUUUCUUGUCAUAAAGAACCUUGUUCUCAUCAUCUUCAUCCCAUGAUGCUUCACGCUUAGAAAUGCCAAUGCCAUUAACAACUGUAGUAGGAACGAAAUGACCUUAUAGGAUAACUUUCCAAACAUAUUUUCCUUGAGACUCUAGAUGCGCCUUCAUGUGUAUUUUCUAAAAAUUGAAAUAUUCUCCAUAAAAUAGUGGGGGAUUGUUAUUGCUGCCACCGUCUCCAAAAAUAGGAUUUUAGUUUGCGGAAGCCAUUUGGAUCUUUUAGGAGUAGGUUACCUAUAACCUGCUCUUAUACCAAUUGUAAGUGGGGGGUGAAUUAGGACUUUAAAAAUUCUCGGACUUUUAUGAAUAUUUGUUCUUCCUUUUUUUUUGGUUAGACAAUGAAAGCGAUAAAAUGCGAAAAAUAAAGAACACCGAGAUGUAUCCUAGUUCCCUUCACAAUCCGAAGGUACGUCUAGUCCCCUUACCACAUGUAAGAGAUUUUUUAUUGUUAGCUCUUCCUACCAAGACUCUAACCAAAUUAUCAAGAACAAUCCUCUUGAAAACUAUCACCACAAGAAAAGAAAACAAUCCUCUCUUUUCUUGCACACGCACUUGUUUGCAACAAUUCUGGAAAAACAUAAGCAAUACAAAACAAACCAUCUUAUUUUCAACAAUUCUGAAAAAUAAGAUAUGGAUUACAACAAUAGUUUUUGAGUGUAAAGUUUGUAGUAUAAUUAUCACACUAAGUGAUAUAUCAAUGUACUUGAUCUUCUCUUCCAAUGACAAAAAGUCACAAACACAAAGGUGUUAAAUUGCUCAAGUAUUUUCUGAUUUGAGUGAUGUGAAAAUAUGCAAAAAAUAUCUUGAAUAAAAGUUUACAACAAGAAAUGUGAAUUCUGAAAAUUCUAAAAGUUUUGAUUGGAAGAUGUCAUUUUUGAAUUUGAAAAAUCAUGUAUUUAUAUGUGCAUAACACCUCUAAUGAAUCAUGGUAAAUGUAUGAAAAAUAUCAUGAACAAUUGUCAAGUUGAAAUGAAAUGAUUCCAUAAAGUGAUGCAUGAAGAGGUGUUAGUAAAACUAUUGAUUUUUCUAAAAUGCACAGAGGUAAAUCGACUUACAUAGUGGAUAAAUUGAUUUCCCUAUGGCAACGUUUAAAAAAUAUUUCAAAAAUUUACCGUAAGAAAUCGAUUUCCAUAAGAAGUAAAUCGAUUUACCCAAUUGAAAAAUUAAUUCUUUGCAUUUGGAAAUGUAUAGGCUUCAAUGGUAAAUCGAUUUCACUAAAGGUAAAUCGGUUUACUUAGUUAUAAACAUGAAAAAUAUAAGCCUAAGACAUUUGCCAUGCACAAGAAAAAGUUAAGCAAUGAUUGUUUGAAUACUUGAGCAUCUAAGACUUUAGUGAAGAUAAAUAUUAUCAUUAUACCUUCUUGAAAUGCAAUAACUUAAAUUCUUGAAUCAUGAUGCUUUAUCUUUGAAUAACAUCUUUGCAUUCUUGUCAUUUGGAGCUUUGUCUUCAUCGAAAUACCUUCAUCGUAGAGAAGCUUGGCUUCACAAAAGCAAUAACACCAAAGGCUCUACUGAGGGUGGUAGAAUUGAGAGGGUUCUACAGAAUGUUCUGUAUCUGAUGAUUGAAGGUGGUGAUGAACAAUAAUGGUUGUCAUUCUGUAGUGAUAAGAGUGAAUUAUUGUGUGUUUGUGAAUUGUGAUUUUCCUCCUCCUUGAAGAGUGAUGAUGAAAAGCUAUAUAAUUGGUGUCCUCUAACCGUUUCGGGCAAGCUAUGGGUUUUAGUGGUUAUUUGAUAUCUGUCCACUGUUCGGACCAUAACUUGAGCUACGGGAUGCCCUUUUGCAAGUUCUGACAUGCGUUGGAAAGCUAAGAGAAAGAGCUACAACUUUUAUGUUGAAGUCAAAAGCUGAUUCGGAGUGAAGUUUCGUACAUAGGAAAUAUUUUCUUUUAUAUAAUUGUUCAAUUAAUUCGUUGAAGUUUCGUACUUUAGGAAAUAUUUUCUUUUUGGCCAUUUGUUGGGCCGAAUUUAGGUUUUCUGGCCCAGUUUGAAUUAUUAGUGAAACUCUUAUUCUGUUUAAAAGGGCAGCCGCUGUACUGUAGAAAAAGACACAUUAUUCAUAAUAACUUUUUGCUUUUGUGCGAUCAUGAAGAGGAAUUAAUCUCCUAGAGUCAAUCUGCUGUAACCGAAUUUCCAAGGCUUUGAGGUUUUUAUUCUAUCAAUUUAAUUUCGUUCUCUUUCAA